UCCUCUUUACAGAGGCAGUUUCGUCCGAGUCCCCGGCAUGACCCGCUGGUAACAGACAAUGAGGGUUGCGCUCGUUGCGGGACUUAACCCAACAUUUCACAACACGAGCUGACGACAGCCAUGCACCACCUGUGCUGCACCCUCGAAGGCGGCUCCGUUUCGGGAGCUUGCAGCAGCAUGUCAAGCCCUGGUAAGGUUCUUCGCGUUGCAUCGAAUUAAGCCACAUGCUCCACCGCUUGUGCGGGCCCCCGCCAAUUCCUUUGAGUUUCAACCUUGCGGCCGUAGUCCCCAGGCGGUUCACUUAAUGCGUUAGCUGCGGCACCGAGGGUUACCCCCCAACACCUAGUGAACAUCGUUUAUGGCCAAGACUAC
rnacentral:misc_RNA from 1 species